UUUUUUUUUCUUUUUAGAUUUUGGUAAAGAUGAACAACAAUCAGUCAUUAUAUUCUGUAAUAAAUCUUUGCAUGUAUAAGGACAUAUCACAUCUCAUUUCUGGCUAAAUAACUCUUUUAUUUUUAUUCAAACUAUUUUUUUUUUUUUUACUUUCCCGCAACAUGCACUAAAUUCUUCUCAGUGCGUCCUCAUUCCUGAUUACAAUAGUAAACACAAUGAUAUUACUACUACUUUUUUUUUACUGCUGCACCUUUGGCAUAUGAAAGUUCCCAGGCUAGGGUUGAAUCUGAGCUGUAGCUGCUGGCCUAUACCACAGCCACAGCAAUGUGGGAUCCUUAACUCACUGAGCAAGGCCAGAGAUCAAAUGCACAUCUUCAGAGACACUAUGUCGGGUUCUUAAUCCGCUGCUGAGACACAAUGGAAAGUCCUUGUGCCAUAUUGGGACUACCAUCCCACCAGCCCACCCUGGGCAAAGAGCAAAACCAGAAAACCAAAAAUCUAACCAAUUAAUUAUAGGAAUGCUAUCCUUAGUUGAUUGGAAAUGGAAAAUAAAUACAAAAACUAUUCUUCACAGGUAAUUUAAUGAAGAUUAGCAUAUGAUCAGGUUUACAAAUAGCCUAAAGAACAGAAAGUAUAUGCAGAUUCAUACAAAUUCAAAUACUGAAUUAUAUGGUGAAAGACUGAAAAUAUUUACAUGACUUGUUUCUUUUCAGAAAAUGAAUUCACUAAUCCUCCUUUUAGAAAACCAAGUUCAAACUAAUAAAGGUCUUGAAAGUAAAUUCUAGCUCUUACUAAGUGCUUCCCUUUGCCUUGCACUGACCACUGGAGGGAUGGGCAUGCAGUACUGGUUAGGCUAUUUUUAUUCAGACUCUUUUGAGGAGUCCUUAAGUGGCAGUGCUGCAUGUAGAUUCUUGUCUGUUGUGAGCAAUUCUUUUACAAUAUAAGUCCAAAGUAAGCAUAUUACAUUGAAAGAGAUGUUAAGCCUUUUUCUUCCUUCUCUAUUAUGGAACAAUAGCUAGAGAAAUACCAUUUCAUGGUACAGAGGUGAUAGCAGAAUUGAUAUUUACAAUCAGCAUUGGUUUAGUCAUUUGACACCUAUGCAUUGUACAACUGACUUUUGUAGAAGUGAUAUUAGCUGAAGUUUAAAAAGAAGGUAUUUGGUUUCAUGCAGUUUAUAGUUAGUUAAAAACUGAAGAUGAAAAAAAUUUAAACAAAUGGAACAGGAAUAGAAUCCAUGCAAUUAAUUGUCACUCAUUAUGAACUAUCACCUAUAAAAUCACAGAAAAGGAACAGAGACAUAUAGCCACAAAAAGAGAGGGAGAAAUAAUAUCAACUAAAACUGUGAAUCUUGGAACAUACGAACAAAUGGUAACUCACUUAGAAGACUGGAUAGACUUGAAACCCAGAUUUGUAAUGGGAAAAGCCAAUAUGAAGAAACAAUUCUUAACACAGAAUUUCAGAAAUGUUCAUUGGAGUACCAGAUCUUUCUAAAAGUGGAAUGGAGAAUAAGAUAUUAGUUAGUUCAAUGUUUUUUAUAACAAGCUUUUAGGGGAGUUCCCACUGUGGCUCAGCAGGUUAAGAACCUCACUAGUAUCCAUGAGGAUUCAGGUUCGACCCCUGGCCUUACUUAGUGGGUUAAGGGUCCAGUCCAUGAGCUGUGGUGUAGGUUACAGAUGUGGCUCAGAUCCCACAUGGCUGUGGCUGUGGUGUAGGCUGUCAGCUGCAGAUACGAUUUGAUCCCUAGCCUCGGAAUUUCCAUAUGCCCCACAUGCAGCCC
rnacentral:lncRNA from 1 species